GAAAUCAGUUUUGCUUCCGGUACAUGGAAAUGCUUUGGUGCGCAUAGUCAAUUAUAUAGAAUUGAGCCAAGCAGAAACAUCCUGAUUUCCAUCAGAAGAAAUCAAGCUUAAGGUGCUAUAAAAGACUCAUCCCUGCUGUAUAUAAUGCUUAGAAAGACAAUAUAUGAAAUGGAAAUACUUUAACAACUCCACCAAUUCUCACUCAUUUUAGAGAUUUACAGCUAAAAAACGUGGGGUCCUAUGCAGUUGCGUCUGGUGAUCAGCAGUUGUCAGCCCUUGUCUCCCAUCAGCAUCUAUGCUAGGGGUCCCAGGGCAUUCUGUGGUCAAUCUGAACAUACAAAAGCAGAAAUGCGAACAAACUGCUGAAAAAGCUUAGGCAUAGAGAGAAUAAUGAAUUAACUAUAGAUAAAUAGGAUUAGGAAAUACAUGGGGAAAUAAAAUGCGUUGGCUGUGCUGUUACUUGAAGGAGGAAAGAUGCUAACCUCUGGGUGUUCUAUCUGGCCUGAGGGACGAUUAGCUUCAGGUGAACAAGCUAUAGAUUCUCCUUCACUCGAACUUGUCAGGCUUUCAGGGCUAGAGGACACUAUACUUUCAGUCUCUGUUGUGUUUGUUCUCUAGCAAUAACAAAAUGCGAUUUUAUGAUCGACAGAAAUGGAUAAAUUAGCACCACAGCCAUUCAAUUAUUGCGUCUGUAGUUUCACAGUCUGUAUACAGAUAAAUUAGUCCCAAUUAUAUACCAAUGGUUCUAGCCAGAGGUCAUGGCAGAAGCAUUUUGUUUGGGGUGGUUGAAGUUCAAAUUCUAUUCUUAUAUAUUUCUUUAUUAAUAAAUAUAACUUAAUAAAAAUACUUAAAUUGAAAAUAUAAAGGGGCAUUUUUGUACUUCUAAAUUUGUCUUCCGAUCUACGCUGGGGAUCCAUGUCCUGAAAAGAAGACGAAUUCAAAUUUCAGUCAGAAGCGUUCUUCGGCAACUCUUCUCUCUCUCUCUCUCUCGAAUACGCUCGUACUGCACUCAUUCUACUCAUAGUUAUAGACGGUUUGAAGAAUCAAAUUCCGAAACGAUGUACGAUCCUCAGCAUUUCGUAGAUUUG
rnacentral:misc_RNA from 1 species